GACGAACGCUGGCGGCGUGCUUAACACAUGCAAGUCGAACGAAGAGCGACGGAAGCUUGCUUCUAUCAAUCUUAGUGGCGAACGGGUGAGUAACGCGUAAUCAACCUGCCCUUCAGAGGGGGACAACAGUUGGAAACGACUGCUAAUACCGCAUACGAUCUAACCUCGGCAUCGAGGAUAGAUGAAAGGUGGCCUCUACAUGUAAGCUAUCACUGAAGGAGGGGAUUGCGUCUGAUUAGCUAGUUGGAGGGGUAACGGCCCACCAAGGCGAUGAUCAGUAGCCGGUCUGAGAGGAUGAACGGCCACAUUGGGACUGAGACACGGCCCAGACUCCUACGGGAGGCAGCAGUGGGGAAUCUUCCGCAAUGGACGAAAGUCUGACGGAGCAACGCCGCGUGAGUGAUGACGGCCUUCGGGUUGUAAAGCUCUGUUAAUCGGGACGAAAGGCCUUCUUGCGAAUAGUGAGAAGGAUUGACGGUACCGGAAGAGAAAGCCACGGCUAACUACGUG
rnacentral:rRNA from 1 species